CUGUCCCCUCUCUGCCCCGCGCACCUCGCUCCCCCUCCCGGCCGGCGCUCGCAGUGGCGCGCCUGCUCGCUCUCCCGCUAAGCGACGAGUCUUCAACAAGUUGGAGGAAGGCAGGAACGCAGGGGUUAAGCUCGGAAAGCCGCAAUUACCAAGAUCGUGACCCUCCCACACAGUACAGUAACUUAUAUACUUACCUGGAAGAACCCGCUUUGCCGCCGGGCAAACACCCGUGGGGGGCGGGGAGGGGCCGGAGGGAGCGGGCCGGCAGGAGAGGGGCUGCUUCCAGCUGGCUGCAGUGCGGACGGGACCGGCGCGCUCCCGUGGCCCCCAGACCGAGGUGGUCAAACCUGUCCUGACACCCAGAGGUCUGCAUGAGGGGUGGCCACUGAAGGAGGAGUUCUCAAAGGCCACAGGUGAUGAAGAGCUUGGAUGAAUAAACUUAGAAGUCCCAGGAAAAUAGCAAAAAUUUCAUCUCCUGAAGAAAUUUGAAGAUUUUUUUGGAUAUUCUUUUAAAGGUGAAACUUUUCUUCUUUAGGU
rnacentral:lncRNA from 10 species